CUCCUGCUGUUAAUGAUAGAGGCUUGCAGUUGAAAAUGAGUGAGCAAUUCAUGAAGAAAGGCAAUUAUUUUGAGCAGCAGAUGAAUGACAACCAAAAAGAUGAAGUGAUUUGCGAGAGAAGCAAAACGAUGAAGUGGUCUGCCAGUGAUAUGGCUAACAAGUCUUCAACAACUGCUGUCACUUUUGCUAUAAAUAUAACUGGAGAAAGCACCAUUUUGAAGAACCUCCGCUGACAUGUAGUGACAAACAUCAACACCUCUUUUCAGCAAACAGAUCAAAUGUAGCUAGGUUAGCCUAGAAAUAGAACAAUAUAUUUUUGACAAGCUGUGUCAACAGCAGUUGUAUUGUAUAUUUGCACAUUAUCAGAACAUUCACAUUAAUGGUAAUGUUAGUUGCAAA